rnacentral:rRNA from 1 species
CCCUUCGGGGUACACGAGAGGCGGACGGCUGAGUAACGCGUGGGAACGCACCCUACACUGAGGGAUAAGAUACCGAAAGGUGUUCUAAUACCGCAUACGGUCUUCGGAUUAAAGUCUUCGGACGGUGAAGGAGCGGCCCGCGUCAUAUUAGGUAGUUGGUGGGGUAAUGGCCUACCAAGCCGAUGAUGUGUAGCUGGUCUGAGAGGAUGAUCAGCCAGACUGGAACUGAGAACGGUCCAGACUCCUACGGGAGGCAGCAGCC